rnacentral:pre_miRNA from 14 species
CGGACAGUCAGCAGUGGGUCUGGUGGGAGCAGCGAUUCUCAGAUCACCUCUUGGCUGUGGGUGGUGCAGGGAG